CCUACGGGAGGCAGCAGUGAGGAAUAUUGGUCAAUGGACGAGAGUCUGAACCAGCCAAGUAGCGUGAAGGAUGACUGCCCUAUGGGUUGUAAACUUCUUUUAUAUGGGAAUAAAAUGUUCCACGUGUGGGAUUUUGUAUGUACCAUAUGAAUAAGGAUCGGCUAACUCCGUGCCAGCAGCCGCGGUAAUACGGAGGAUCCGAGCGUUAUCCGGAUUUAUUGGGUUUAAAGGGAGCGUAGGUGGAUUGUUAAGUCAGUUGUGAAAGUUUGCGGCUCAACCGUAAAAUUGCAGUUGAAACUGGCAGUCUUGAGUACAGUAGAGGUGGGCGGAAUUCGUGGGGUAGCGGUGAAAUGCUUAGAUAUCACGAAGAACUCCGAUUGCGAAGGCAGUUCACUGGACUGCAACUGACACUGAGGCUCGAAAGUGUGGGUAUCAAACAGGAUUAGAUACCCUAGUAGUUC
rnacentral:rRNA from 1 species